AUGUAUGGCGGAAAGAAUUAUGGGAAGUCUCGAGGAUUCCACCGAAGACUUGAUCGCGAAAAAAAGGAUGUAUGUCAGAAGAUUAAGAAUGCUGAGCGGGAAGGCAAGAAAUCAACAAAUGAGGCCGACAGAUGGCUGGAAAAAGUGGCCAAAAUCAUUGAUGUUGUGCGUGUAAUCUCUGUGGACUAUAAGUUGAAGAAGGAUGUUGCCAUGGAGGCAUCUGAGAAGCUUCGUGAGGUUCGAGAAUGUCUUAGUAUUUGUCCUAGUACUGUUGCAGUUGAGUCAAUGCCACCUCAUGUCCAAGAGAUGCCUGGUCCAUCUAUGUCAGCUAAGAACCGUAACCUUCAAGAUGCUCUCCAGUACAUUAAGGAUGAUCCCAAAGUGGGAAUGAUUGGAAUUUGGGGUCCAGGUGGAGUCGGGAAAACACAUCUUCUCAAAAACAUCAAUAACUCAUUUGGAGAGGGCAUGGACUUUGAUUUUGUUGUCUUUGUAACUGCCUCCAGAGGGUGCCAAGUGGAAAAGGUCCAGUCACAAAUCAUAGAAAGGCUCAGGCUGAAAAGUAUUGGUCCUAAUGGUCUUACUAUACAUGAGUACAUGAAAACGAAAAGCUUUCUUGUACUAUUGGAUGACCUCUGGAACGAAAUUGAUCUAGAAGAAGUUGGGAUACCAUACCCCCUUGGAAAAGUAAACAAACUCAAUAGAAAAGUGGUGCUAACAACAAGAUUAAGAAAAGUUUGUGGCCAAAUGAAGGUGAAGAAAGAGUUAAAAGUCACAUAUCUGCAGGAGCAUGAGGCAUGGCAGCUAUUUGAAGAAAAUAUUGGUGCCGAAACUCUUUCUAGUCCCCAUAUUGAAGCUCUUGCUAGAGAACUUAUGAAGGGACUGAAAGGCUUGCCAUUAGCUUUGAUAACUAUUGGAAAUGCAAUGUAUCGGAAAGAUGAGUAUCAAUGGGAAACUGCCAUCCAAUAUAUGCGGCAGUCAUGCUGCGCUGAUGACAAAGACCCAAUAGAACUGGGAAUGGAAACUAAUGUUUUCAGGCGGCUGAAGUUUAGUUAUGACAAUUUGAGAAACAAGACCUUAAGAGAUUGUUUUUUGACUUGUGCACUGUGGCCAGAGGAUGAGAACAUUCGCAAAGUUAACCUUGCUCAAUGCUGGAUGGGCUUAGGUCUAGUCAAUGAGCAUGACAUAUAA
rnacentral:rRNA from 1 species